UAGGGAAUCUUCCACAAUGGGCGAAAGCCUGAUGGAGCAACGCCGCGNGUUUGUGAUGAAGGGUUUCGGCUCGUAAAACACUGUUGUAAGAGAAGAAUGACAUUGAGAGUAACUGUUCAAUGUGUGACGGUAUCUUACCAGAAAGGAACGGCUAAAUACGUGCCAG
rnacentral:rRNA from 1 species